UUCAAAAUAAAAUAAUAAAUCCUCAUGUCCUGCUUCUCAUUUGUUAGACUUAGAAGAAGUGAGAGUUUUGGCAAAAAUAUAAAACUAGUCCUUAACUUUUGAGUGCAAGAUUGUUUUUUUUUUUUUUUNUUUUGGAAUUAGAAUUAAAAGAUGUAUUUAGAUCUAUAUAUCACACAAAGGUGGAAAAAUAACCGCACGCAUGCGGAACUACUAUCCACAUAAAGAUGGGAACACUACACCACAUGCAGACGAGAUUGAACCCAAAAUCCCUUAUGAAUUUUUUUUUGAAUGCUUCAACUUUAUCACUUGAGUUAGACCUCAUUGGUUGAUUGCAAGAUAAUUAGUUCAAUAAUUUAACCAUUUGGUAAUUUUGGCCAGUCCACGUAUGUAUAUUAUAUUUCAAGAGAAGUUGUGUAAGGUUUGUAAAUUAAUCUCUAUAAAAUCUCAAAUAACUGUCAUAUCAAAUCUAUGUUCGAGAUUUUUUUUUAUUUUAUUUUUUUUAGGGAAACGACGAAAUAUAUUAAUCAGAAUCAGAAUAAACAAUAUCUAGAAGCCAAUUUGAAAAAUCAGACUUCCAGACAACAUCAGAAACAAAACAAGAGAAAUUAGCAAGCUCAUGAGCUGCUUUGUUUGCAUCCCGACGCAUAUGCAUGAAAUCCACCACCACAUACUGUCUAGCAUGAG
rnacentral:lncRNA from 1 species